rnacentral:tRNA from 2 species
AAGGCUUUAGCUUAAUUAAAGUGUUUGUUUUGCAUACAAAAGAUGUGGGUUAGUGUCCCGCAAGCCUUA